GAUUUAAUAAUUUAACAAAAAAUUCUAAUUUUGUAAAUUAGAUAUAAGAUAAAAUCUUUUAAAUCA
rnacentral:tRNA from 1 species